rnacentral:misc_RNA from 1 species
GAUGAAGAACGCAGCGAAAUGCGAUAAGUAAUGUGAAUUGCAGAAUUCAGUGAAUCAUCGAAUCUUUGAACGCACAUUGCGCCCGCCAGCAUUCUGGCGGGCAUGCCUGUUCGAGCGUCAUUUCAACCCUCGAGCCCCCCCGGGGGCCUCGGUGUUGGGGGACGGCACACCAGCCGCCCCCGAAAUGCAGUGGCGACCCCGCCGCAGCCUCCCCUGCGUAGUAGCACACACCUCACACCGGAGCGCGGAGGCGGUCACGCCGUAAAACGCCCAACUUUCUUAGAGUUGACCUCGGAUCAGGUAGGAAUACCCGCUGAACUUAAGCAUAUCAAUAAGCGGAGGA